UACGUAGGGCGCAAGCGUUAUCCGGAAUUAUUGGGCGUAAAGAGCUCGUAGGCGGUUUGUCGCGUCUGCCGUGAAAGUCCGGGGCUCAACUCCGGAUCUGCGGUGGGUACGGGCAGACUAGAGUGCAGUAGGGGAGACUGGAAUUCCGGGUGUAGCGGUGGAAUGCGUAGAGAUCCGGAAGAACACCGGUGGCGAAGGCGGCCUGCUGGGCAGUAGCUGACACUGAGGCGCGACAGCGUGGGAGCAACAGG
rnacentral:rRNA from 1 species